GUGCUCACUUCAGCAGCACAUAUACUAAAAUUGUAAUGAUACAGAGAUUAGCACAGCCCCUGUGCAAUGACACACAAAUUCAUGAGGCAGUCCAUAUUUUU
ensembl:snRNA U6 U6 spliceosomal RNA